UUUUUAAGAGGCCUUUUGGCCCCCCUCGACGGUGGUUGCUCAAGGGUGGAACGUUGAUUAUUCCGCACUGGCGGGUGUCUUCGGCUUCCAGUACUGGUCUUCCGGGCGUGGAAAGGUGAACCCCAAUGGAGGGGGGGCCGGGGCCCCUUUUGGGGUUUUGAAGGGACCGUUUUUUCCACCUUCCUUUCGUGCCCCCCCCCGGGAAAUUGGCCUGUGAGGGGGGGGUGAGGGGGGGUGGGCCUUUUUUUGAAAACUGCACAGGGGACGCGAGCUUUUGG
rnacentral:misc_RNA from 1 species